UACGUAGGGGGCGAGCGUUGUCCGGAUUUAUUGGGCGUAAAGAGCUCGUAGGUGGUUUGUCGCGUUGUUCGUGAAAACUCACAGCUCAACUGUGGGCGUGCGGGCGAUACGGGCAGACUGGAGUACUGCAGGGGAGACUGGAAUUCCUGGUGUAGCGGUGGAAUGCGCAGAUAUCAGGAGGAACACCGGUGGCGAAGGCGGGGUCUCUGGGCAGUAACUGACGCUGAGGAGCGAAAGCGUGGGGGAGCGAACAGGA
rnacentral:rRNA from 1 species